UACGUAGGGGGCAAGCGUUAUCCGGAUUUACUGGGUGUAAAGGGAGCGUAGACGGCAUGGCAAGCCAGAUGUGAAAUACCGGGGCUUAACCCCGGGACUGCAUUUGGAACUGUUAAGCUGGAGUGUCGGAGAGGCAGGCGGAAUUCCUAGUGUAGCGGUGAAAUGCGUAGAUAUUAGGAGGAACACCAGUGGCGAAGGCGGCCUGCUGGACGAUAACUGACGUUGAGGCUCGAAAGCGUGGGGAGCAAACAGG
rnacentral:rRNA from 1 species